UACGUAGGGGGCAAGCGUUGUCCGGAAUCAUUGGGCGUAAAGAGCGUGUAGGCGGUCCGGUAAGUCGGCUGUGAAAGUCCAGGGCUCAACCCUGGGAUGCCGGUCGAUACUGCCGGACUAGAGUUCGGAAGAGGCGAGUGGAAUUCCUGGUGUAGCGGUGAAAUGCGCAGAUAUCAGGAGGAACACCGAUGGCGAAGGCAGGUCUCUGGGCCACUACUGACGCUGAGAAGCGAAAGCAUGGGGAGCGAACAGG
rnacentral:rRNA from 1 species